CCUACGGGAGGCAGCAGUGGGGGAUAUUGCACAAUGGAGGAAACCCUGAUGCAGCGACGCCGCGUGUGGGAAGACGGUCCUCUGGAUUGUAAACCACUGUCCCCAGGGACGAAAAUGACGGUACCUGGGGAGGAAGCUCCGGCUAACUACGUGCCAGCAGCCGCGGUAAUACGUAGGGAGCGAGCGUUGUCCGGAAUUACUGGGUGUAAAGGGAGCGUAGGCGGGGAUGCAAGUUGGGUGUAAAAACUACCGGCUCAACUGGUAGUCGCACUCAAAACUGCAGGUCUUGAGUGAAGUAGCGGUAGGCGGAAUGCCUGGUGUAGCGGUGAAAUGCGUAGAUAUUAGGCGGAACACCAGUGGCGAAGGCGGCCUGCUGGGCUUUUACUGACGCUGAGGCUCGAAAGUGUGGGGAGCAAACAGGAUUAGAUACCCUGGUAGUC
rnacentral:rRNA from 1 species